GGCACUGUUCGCGGGAGCCCGAUCCGGGCUGAGAGGGCCGAGUGCCGACCGCUGCACCUGAUGCGGUUAAUGCCGCCGGAGGAAGGAACAUCGUGGCGAACG
rnacentral:ncRNA from 2 species